ACGAACGCUGGCGGCGGUGCUUAACACAUGCAAGUCAAGGACUGUAGCAAUACAGUACUGGCGCACGGGUGCGGAACACGUAGGCAAUCUGCCCUUUGGGGGAAAACAACCCGUGAAAGACGGGCUAACAUUCCGUAAUAUCGAUUGGUGGCAUCACCGGACGAUCAAGUUUUCCAAAGGAUGAGCCUGCGUCUGAUUAGCUAGUUGGCGGGGUAACGGCCCACCAAGGCUACGAUCAGUAGCUGGUCUGAGAGGAUGAUCAGCCACAUUGGGACUGAGAGAUACGGCCCAGACUCCUACGGGAGGCAGCAGCGAGGAAUAUUGCUCAAUGGGGGAAACCCUGAAGCAGCAACGCCGCGCGUGAGGGAUGAGGGGGCUCUGCCUUGUAAACCUCUUGUAGUUGGGGACAAAUGUGUGGUUACUACCGCAUCGAUGGUACCCAAAAAGUAAGGAUCGGCUACUACGUGCCAGCAGCCGCGGUAAUACGUAGGAUCCGAGCGUUGUCCGGAUUUACUGGGUGUAAAGGGUGCGCAGGCGAGAAUGCUAAGUCAGAGGUGAAAUCUCGUCGCUUAACGACGAACUGCCUUGAUACUAUCAUUCUUGAGUCCGGUAGAGAUCUGUGGAAUUCCGAGUGUAGCAGUGAAAUGUGUAGAUAUUCGGAAGAACACCAGUGGCGAAGGCAGCAGAUUGGGCCGGUACUGACGCUCAGGCACGAAAGCAUGGGAUCAACAGGAUUAGAUACCCUGGUAGUCCAUGCCCUAAACGAUGUACACUUGAUAUCUGCCCUAGGGUAGGUGUCGUAGCUAACGCGUUAAGUGUACCACCUGGGGAGUACGCUCGCAAGGGUGAAACUCAAAGGAAUUGACGGGGGCCCGCACAAGCAAGUGGAGUAUGUGGUUUAAUUCGAUGCUACGCGAAGAACCUUACCUAGGCUUGAAAAGCCGUCUAAACCUUGUGAAAGCAGGGUACCCGCAAGGGGGGCGGUACAGGUGCUGCAUGGCUGUCGUCAGCUCGUGCCGUGAGGUGUUUGGUUAAGUCCAGCAACGAGCGCAACCCUUAGAAUUAGUUACCAGCGAGUAAUGUCGGGAACUCUAAUUCGACUGCCUACGCAAGUAGUGAGGAAGGUGGGGACGACGUCAAGUCAUCAUGGCCCUUACGCCUAGGGCUACACACGUACUACAAUGGCAACUACAAUGGGCAGCAAUACCGCGAGGUGGAGCGAAUCCUAUAAAAGUUGUCUCAGUUCAGAUCGGAGUCUGCAACCCGACUCCGUGAAGGUGGAAUUGCUAGUAAUCGUAGAUCAGCACGCUACGGUGAAUACGUUCCCGGGCCUUGUACACACCGCCCGUCACGCCAUGAAAGCCGGGGGGUACCCAAAGCCGCCUAAUAAGCGUCUAAGGUAAAACCGGUGAUUGGGCGA
rnacentral:rRNA from 1 species